GUAGGGAAUCUUCCACAAUGGACGAAAGUCUGAUGGAGCAAUGCCGCGUGAGUGAAGAAGGGUUUCGGCUCGUAAAACUCUGUUGUUAAAGAAGAACACCUUUGAGAGUAACUGUUCAAGGGUUGACGGUAUUUAACCAGAAAGCCACGGCUAACUACGUGCCAGCAGCCGCGGUAAUACGUAGGUGGCAAGCGUUGUCCGGAUUUAUUGGGCGUAAAGCGAGCGCAGGCGGUUUUUUAAGUCUGAUGUGAAAGCCUUCGGCUUAACCGGAGAAGUGCAUCGGAAACUGGGAGACUUGAGUGCAGAAGAGGACAGUGGAACUCCAUGUGUAGCGGUGGAAUGCGUAGAUAUAUGGAAGAACACCAGUGGCGAAGGCGGCUUACUGGACUGUAACUGACGCUGAGGCGCGAAAGUGUGGGGAGCAAACAGGAUUAGAAACCCUGGUAGUCC
rnacentral:rRNA from 1 species